UAGUCCACGCCGUAAACGAUGGUCACUAGCUGUGUGGAUUUCGGUCUGCGUGGCUAAGCGAAAGUGAUAAGUGACCCACCUGGGGAGUACGUUCGCAAGAAUGAAACUCAAAGGAAUUGACGGGGGCCCGCACAAGCGGUGGAGCAUGUGGUUUAAUUCGAUGAUACGCGAGGAACCUUACCAGGGCUUAAAUGUAGAUUGCAUUAGCUAGAGAUAGCUAUUUCUUCGGACCAUCUACAAGGUGCUGCAUGGUUGUCGUCAGCUCGUGCCGUGAGGUGUCAGGUUAAGUCCUAUAACGAGCGCAACCCCUGUUGUUAGUUGCCAGCGAGUAAUGUCGGGAACUCUAGCAAGACUGCCGGUGCAAACCGUGAGGAAGGUGGGGAUGACGUCAAAUCAUCACGGGCCCUUACGUUCUGGGGCUACACACGUACUACAAUGCAACGGACAAAGGGCAGCCAACUAGCGAUAGUGAGCUAAUCCCAUAAA
rnacentral:rRNA from 1 species